ACUAAGAAUAUUAUGUUUUAGAAAUUAUAGUGGUUUAAAAAUAGUGAGACUCGAUUAUUUUAAUAUUAAAAGGUUUAAAUAUAAAUAGUUUUUUUUUAAACGAGUUUUAUUAUUUUUAAACACGUCGUCUCUAUAGAAAUCACUUUUCUAGAGUUUUCUGACUUCUCUCUAGGAGUUCUUCUUCUCUACUCAUCUGAUUGAAGAAUUGAAACCGUAUGAGUGAUCCUAGCGGUGAGNUCUUCAAUUCAGACUUAUCAGUUUCUCUGUUUGAGUAAGUUAAGUUUUGACACUUUUUCUCUGGUUUUUUCUUUCUUUUUUUGCAUGUGGGCCCGCUUAUUUAGCAUGUAAUGUCUGAGUCUUCUAUAAGACUAUUUGUUGAUCGUGUUUAUGUUGUCUAUAGGUACAUAUAGAGUUCCUUGAACUGUAUGAACAAAAUAGGGUUCUCAAGAGAGGUUAGUGUUCUAA
rnacentral:lncRNA from 1 species